GUUAUAGGGUCAAGCGAACAAGUGCAUGUGGUGGAUGCCUUGGCGAUCACAGGCGAUGAAGGACGCGGUAGCCUGCGAAAAGCUACGGGGAGCUGGCAAACGAGCUUUGAUCCGUAGAUGUCCGAAUGGGGAAACCCGGCCCUUUUGGGUCAUCCUAGACUGAAUACAUAGGUCUAGUGAGGCGAACGCGGUGAACUGAAACAUCUAAGUAACCGCAGGAAAAGAAAUCAACCGAGAUUCCCAAAGUAGUGGCGAGCGAAAUGGGAAGAGCCUGUACUCUUUAUUUGUAUUGUUAGCCGAACGCUCUGGAAAGUGCGGCCAUAGCAGGUGAUAGCCCUGUAGGCGAAAACAGUAUGAAAGAACUAGGUGUACGACAAGUAGGGCGGGACACGUGAAAUCCUGUCUGAAGAUGGGGGGACCAUCCUCCAAGGCUAAAUACUCGUGAUCGACCGAUAGUGAACCAGUACCGUGAGGGAAAGGCGAAAAGAACCCCGGGAGGGGAGUGAAAUAGAUCCUGAAACCGCAUGCAUACAAACAGUCGGAGCCUCUUCGGGGGUGACGGCGUACCUUUUGUAUAAUGGGUCAGCGACUUACGUUCAGUAGCAAGCUUAACCGAAUAGGGCAGGCGUAGCGAAAGCGAGUCCGAAUAGGGCGUUCAGUUGCUGGGCGUAGACCCGAAACCAGGUGAUCUAUCCAUGGCCAGGAUGAAGGUGCGGUAACACGUACUGGAGGUCCGAACCCACUAACGUUGAAAAGUUAGGGGAUGAGCUGUGGAUAGGGGUGAAAGGCUAAACAAACCUGGAAAUAGCUGGUUCUCUCCGAAAACUAUUUAGGUAGUGCCUCGUGUCUCACCUUCGGGGGUAGAGCACUGUCAUGGUUGGGGGGUCUAUUGCAGAUUACCCCGCCAUAGCAAACUCCGAAUACCGAAGAGUGCAAUCACGGGAGACAGACAUCGGGUGCUAACGUCCGGUGUCAAGAGGGAAACAACCCAGACCGCCAGCUAAGGUCCCCAAAUAUGGCUAAGUGGGAAACGAAGUGGGAAGGCUAAAACAGUCAGGAGGUUGGCUUAGAAGCAGCCACCCUUUAAAGAAAGCGUAAUAGCUCACUGAUCGAGUCGUCCUGCGCGGAAGAUGUAACGGGGCUAAGCCAUAUACCGAAGCUGCGGAUGCGAGCUAGUCUCGCAUGGUAGGAGAGCGUUCCGUAAGCCUGCGAAGGUGCGUUGAAAAGCGUGCUGGAGGUAUCGGAAGUGCGAAUGCUGACAUGAGUAGCGAUAAAGGGGGUGAAAGGCCCCCUCGCCGUAAGCCCAAGGUUUCCUACGCAACGUUCAUCGGCGUAGGGUGAGUCGGCCCCUAAGGCGAGGCAGAAAUGCGUAGCUGAUGGGAAGCAGGUCAAUAUUCCUGCACCGUCGUUAGAUGCGAUGGGGGGACGGAUCGC
rnacentral:rRNA from 1 species